rnacentral:rRNA from 1 species
GACGAACGUUGGCGGCGCGCUUAAUGCAUGCAAGUCGAACGAGAACCGUUCGGUUCGUAAGAACCGGACGGGGACAGUGGCGAACGGGUGCGUAACACGUGAGAAACCUGCCCCGAAGACCGGGAUAGCCCGGGGAAACCCCGGAUUAAUACCGGAUACCCUCGUGGGGUCGCAUGACCCCGCUAGGAAACGGUCCGCCGCUUCGGGAUGGUCUCGCGGCCUAUCAGCUUGUUGGCGAGGUAACGGCUCACCAAGGCAGCGACGGGUAGCUGGUCUGAGAGGACGAUCAGCCACACUGGGACUGAGACACGGCCCAGACUCCUACGGGAGGCAGCAGCAGGGAAUAUUGCACAAUGGGCGCAAGCCUGAUGCAGCGACGCCGCGUGCGGGAUGAAUGCCUUCGGGUUGUAAACCGCUUUCAGGAGGGACGAAAAUGACGGUACCUCCAGAAGAAGCCCCGGCCAACUACGUG